UUCCUGGUUAAAGAAUCGUUAAAUCAAAUAAAAGUCCUGUAGAUCUUCUUCUGUUCGCCUCCUGAACGUCAUUCUAUUAAAUCCACAGAAUGAAAACUAAAAAAAACAAAAGAGCAAAAAAGAAAACAAUUCUGAGGAAUGAAUUCAAAAGUUUUGACAUAAACGAGAAAAAAAGCAGGAAAAUCAUCAGUGGGGGGGUGAGGGGGGGGGGUGAAUCCUGUCUGAAGCCGAUGUUUCAUUCUAAUGAAAUCUGCUGUCAAAACUUGGGGGGGUCAAAGAAAUCAAAUAUAUAUGUAUAUAUAUAUUUUAAUGGCGAACAGAAACUCAACCACAGACUACAUUUCCCAUAAGUCCUUGAGGCAAACGAAUGUCAUUGAAUUAGUCAGAACAAACCAGAACAUUUCUUGUUUUUAAAAUCAUUAAGGCAAAUGAAAUGAUUUUUUAUUGAACCAGACUGGAGUUUUGUUUUCAGAAGAGCUUCAACCCGGAAGUCAGAGGUUUGUAGCUGAACGAGAGGCGGCGGAAGUGUUUUACUGAAUCCUAAUCACAGUAUUUCAGUUUAAAACCCCAAAUGUGGUGAAAUGGAUCUUCAGAGGAACCUGCAGCACGCAAUCGAUCAACUCUGCAGGAACGGCAAACUUCUAAAGGUUGACGGCGUUUGGGUGGAGGAGCCGGUCUGAACCUGCUGAGAGCCGUCUGUGGGGUCUGCGCAGAUGGAACCGGCAUGCUCUGCAGCCGCUGCAGGAGAGCACGAGCGGCGGCGGCGGUCGGAGUGUGGGCCGCUCCUCCCGGCGGGGAUUAUUAAAGUUCUGCUGAUUCCUGAUAGGAGCGCCGGAUCGAGCCGCGUGUGCAAACACCGGAGCGUGUCGCCGCGCUGCAUCUGCAGCUCAGGGCCGUGCACGGGAGGAUGCAGGCGUAACUCUGCUGCUUUUAUUUUACUCUUUUAUCGGCUCAGGACAAUAAAAACAUGAAUGCGGCUCUGGAAUGGUUUGUGACGUAAAUCGGAGCGGCUCAGUAAUGAAGCAUGCGGCAUCGCGCCGACUCCUAAUUUGACUAGUUAAAUGACUCCAUUACGUGUCUAACAGACAGAGGCAAAUCAUUUCUGGUCAGUUGAGGCUCACUUACCCGCGUCCUGGUGUUGGGGAGACGUCUGCCUCUUCCUUUAGCCUUUUGAUUGGUCUGUUCUAAAAAUGAACAUUUUCUCCUGAUCUGAGAUAAUCGCUCCGCAAAAACACAAUUUAUCAAAGCGUGCCAGGAAAUAUUAGAAAAGAACAGAAUGUGUUCACAGUUUCAUCACAUUUGGGUGUUUUUUUUAUUCUAAAGUAUCAGCUCUUGUCAACAGAGAGGAUGAAACGUUCAUUGAAUUAUUAAAAAAAUGAAGCACUUCCUGCUGUCCAUCACUGUCAUUUAACACGUGCAGAAUUUGAAGUGGCUUCCCAGCAGCCACCGGGGUGGACAUCUGUUAGCGCGCUCGCGCACAGAGUGACACCGCCGGCGUUCAAAGGAGGAAAUAAUGAAAUAGUUUUAUUGUUUGAAGGCAGCGCACACACACACACACAUCAUCAUCUGCCGUCGCUCUUCCAAUUCCCCCGACGCCGAGCACUCAGAGCCGGAUCAGAACGAACAUGUGUUCCGCUCUGCCUUUCUUCCCGGCUCUCUGUGAAUCUCGUGCGUGCCUGCACCUCAGCGGGCUGCACAAACUUUCCCUGCAGCGGAGUGGCGGGUUUGAAUCCUCGUCAGCAGCUGAUCUCUGCUGCUGGAUGUGAUGGGGUGAUGAGUGACACGCCCGCGUCGCCGGGAGCCGCCUGUCCGAUCCGAUUUGAGCCGAAGGCGCUGGUGUGUGAGCCCCCCGUCCCCCCGAUCGACGCAGCGGGGGCAGAGGCAGGUAAGGCCCCCGCCUGCUCCGCGUGGAGGGUAAUUAUGCAGGCUGAUCUCAUCUGCAGGAUUUAGGAACUAAACCGACGUCGAUAAAUAUCUGUCAUGUGACGCGGAGACAGACAGACGGAUGGAUGGAUACAUAGAUUGAUAGAUACACGGACAGACGUCGGCCUAUUAGUUUAUUCUUGGGGGGGUCGUAUUUCAUGCUAUGAUAAAGUCUGCUUGAAUCAACAGUGACUCGUUUGGCUAAAAAAUAUUAAAAAAAUAUGUUUUUAGUCAUUUUUAGUGACUACUAUUUGCAUUUUUUAAUGAUUUUAUCAAUAAUAAUAAAAUAUUGAUGUAUAUUUUCUAUAUAAAAAUGAUAAAAUGUUUUUCAAACUUCCAUUCCCCCCCCCCAGCAUGGCCCCGUGGUUUGAGUGGCUGUUGAUCCUUCCAAAGAGGACAGAUCAAAUAUUUCUCCUUUCCGCCGCGCUGAUGGCGUGAUUGGGGUUGACGGACGGACGGGCGGGCAGGCGGGGGCCCCCGGGUUUUGAAGUCUGAAACAGACACUGCCGGCUUUGAUGGCCCCCCCACCCCUCCUCACGCUUUCUGUCACCGAUGCGACCCGGCGAAAAGAAGACAAGGAGGAGGAGGGGAGUGUUUGAAGCGCCCCCACCAACCGAAGACGAUCUCACUCUCACUUCCUGAAGUGCUGUCAGACUGAAGGAGACCCCCCCAACCCCCCCCCAGAACCCAAAAGAGACUGGGCCAGACCUGACCCUUAAAGGUUUCACUAUGAAACCAAACAAAUCGACGCCUGAUACGAUAUCCUGACAUCAAACUUCCUGUUCUGAGUUCACAUUUCCCAGCAUUCAUUGGGGUCCCUGAAGCCUCACGCCAAACUAAAGAUGGACUCCAGAACCGGGCUCCACCUGGAACCGGUUCUUUCUCUGAGAAACGACCAACUCAGUUCAAUAAA